GCCUUCGUGGUGUAACGGUUAGCACACUCGGCUGGUAUUCGAGAGGUACAGGUUUGAGUCCCGGCGAGGGCA
rfam:Stegodyphus mimosarum contig118795, whole genome shotgun sequence.